CCUACGGGUGGCUGCAGUAGGGAAUUUUGCACAAUGGGGGAAACCCUGAUGCAGCAACGCCGCGUGAGCGAUGAAGUAUUUCGGUAUGUAAAUCUCUAUCAGCAGGGCCGACAAUGACGGUACCUAACUAAGAAGCCCCGGCUAACUACGUGCCAGCAGCCGCGGUAAUACGUAGGGGGCAAGCGUUCUCCGGAUUUAUUGGGGGUAAAGGGAGCGUAGACGGCGGUGCAAGCCAGAUGUUAAAGCCCGGGGCUCAACCCCGGGACUGCAUUUGAUACUUUGCUGCUAGAGUGUCGGAGAGGCAGGCGGAAUUCCUAGUGUAGCGGUGAAAUGCGUAGAUAUUAGGAGGAACACCAGUGGCGAAGGCGGCCUGCUGGACGAUGACUGACGUUGAGGCUCGAAAGCGUGGGUAGCAAACAGGAUUAGAUACCCCAGUAGUC
rnacentral:rRNA from 1 species